rnacentral:rRNA from 1 species
ACCUUGGUGACCUAGGCUAGUACCAGGUCCCCCUCUAAGGGACUUGUCCCCCUCUAAGGGACUUGCGUCGGUCCUAUCCUAGGCCGAAUAGGUGAAUAAAUACUUACGGACGGCCUUGGUCUGUCCUAGAGGUUAUCAACAUAUGAACUCUUAGAGAAAUUACUUAAUAAACGAAGUGAAUUGAAAUAUCUUAUUAACUUCAGGAAAAGAAAUCAAACGAGAUUCUAUGAUUAGUGUGAACGAAAAUAGAGCAGCCUAUUAAAAUAAGUAAAAUGGCUUUAAAGCUGUUUGAAUAUUGUGGGGAACCUUCCUCAAAGGCUAAAUAUAAUACAUGAGUUACAGAGAAAAGUACCGUGAGGGAAAGCUUUGAAAUAGUAGUUUUAUAAGCAGCUCAAGCAAUAAGAAAGCGAGAGCGUACCUUUUGCAUAAUGGGUCACCAAGUUAAUUUUAGAUGCGAGCGAAUUUAUUUAUGUUUUUACUGAUUAAACAAUAUAAUGAAUCAUAAUUAUUUUUGUAACGAGUAUUAGUAUUAAAUCUUAAUUUAAUAUUAGUAUAAGUUUUCAGUAUGGCGGCUACAUAGCAUAAUCUAUGCAGCCAGCCAAUAAUUGGAUUUCCAAUCCAAUUUCGGUAAUAAAUAGAUGUGCAUAGUUAAACCGAUCAUUAAAAUAAUGAAUAGUGUCUAAAGUUAGACCCGAAGCCUGGUGAUCUUACUAUAGUCAGGACUAUAAAGGUCCGAACGGGUUAUCGUUGCAAAGAUAUCCGAAGAACUAUGGUAAGCGAGUGAAAGACAACACUGACUAGGAUAGCUGGUUUUCUGCGAAACCUAUAAUAGUAGGCAAUUUAAGUAACAUCUUAGUAGGUACAGAACUUAAUCUCAGACAAGAUGUAGAUUUUCAUACCUAUGUUUAGGUAUGAAAUGCAUUUUUUUUUGUAUACAUCGGGGGAUCGUGAAGAUUUUAUCGGUGAGUAUGUAGACUCGGAAUGACAAAGAUGAAUCUUGAAUAAUCAGACAUAGAAUGAUAAGGUUGUAUGUCAAAAGGGAAACAGCCCAGAACAAGAGUUAAGGUUCCAAAAUUAUUAUUAAGUGAAAUAAAGAAAGUUUUUAUAUAAGUCGACAAGAAGAUGGGCUUGGAAGCAGCCAUAAUUUAAAGAUCUCGUAACAGAGCACUUGUUAAAUCUUAAAAGCAUCGAAAAUUUAACGGAUCUAAAUAAUAUACCGAAACCUUGUCCAUAUGUAACAUUAGUAAUAAUAUGCUAUUAAUGUUAUUUGAUGGGGUAGCAGAACGUUGAGUGAAUCUUAGAUUUUUUUUUUAUAACUAAAUAUAGAUGAUAACUCAAGUGAGAAUGGUGACAUGAGUAACAAAAAAGAGUUUAAGGUACCUAAAAGGUAUCUUAGAGUCUCGCCUAAAGCUUAUGGCUACGUCAAGUAACGGCCUCUAAGUUUAUAAUCUGAAGAUUAUGACGAUGAGAAAAUAACGCGCAGAAGUGCGCUGCUUUGAUACUUAUGGUACCAACAUUUAAAAGUGAAAAUUGUGCAGGAAGGAUCAGUAUCCUUUCAUUCUUAUGUGGGGGAGUGGACAAAACUGAACAGAGUGUAUCUGAACACAGAUGAGUCCACACCCCCCCCCAUGUAAUGAAUGAAUGACAAACCGUACCUAGAAUCUGAAACAAGUAAGCUAGUAGAGAAUACGAAGGCGUGAAUGAGAUAACAAUCAUAAAGGAACUCGGCAAACUAACUACCGUAACUUAGGGAUAAGGAGAGCUCAUUAGUCUCGAUUAAUACGAGUAAAAAGGAAGAAGCAUGGAAUAUUGUUGUACGACUGUUUAAUUAAAACAAAGCACUUUGCAAAAAGACGAUAAGUCUAAGUAUUGAGUGUGAUUUCUGCCCGAUGCCGGCUGGUUAACGAAUUUUCUAAAUUGAAAAAAAAUUUGGUUUCAGAGGAACCCCCGGUUAAUGGCGGCCUUAGCGUGAGGGUCCUAAGGUAGCGAAAUGCCUUGGCCGUUAAAUGCGGUCUUGCAUGAAUGAUGUAACGAUACAACAGCUGUCUCUAUGAUUGACUCAGUGAAAUUGGAAUAACUGUGCAGAUACAGUUUACCUCUAGUUAGACGAGAAGACCCUAUGCAGCUUUACUGUUACUAAUUAUUGAAUACGAUUCUGAAAAUUUCCAGUGUAAAAGGUAAUCGAUAAGAUAUAAUUGAAACACCUUUAUUUUUCUAUCGUAUUAUUAAACCUUAAAUUAAGGAACAAUUGUUAGAAGACAGUUUAUGCGGGGCACAGGCCCCAUAAAGAGUAAAUGGGUGUGUCUAAAAUUUAUAAAUUUAUGUUUGCAAUUUUUUAUAGUGAUUAUAUAUCAAAUCAUCUUUAUGCUAUUCAUAGAGUGUAUUUAUUAUAUUCCUUGGGUACAGUAUAAAAAUUAUAUAUGUAUUAAUUUACAUAUAUUUUUUCUAAGAAAUUAGGUAAGAUUUUGUUUAUAGAGAAAUUAGAUGUAAAAAAAAAAUCUUAUGAGGGCGGUAUUUAAUAAUCCGCUUCUAAUAUUUUUUUGUAGUUAUUAUUAUAAAUUUAAUAAUAAUCAUGUUUAUUACUUAAAAAGCUUAAUGGCUUAAUCUUGCCUUACUGUUUGAUUAACAACAAAUCUUACAGUCGCGUAAGCGGGGCAUAGGAUCACAAGAUACAAAAAGGAAAGAUCUUGGAUUUUUGGAAAAGCUACGCUAGGGAUAACAGGCUAAUUUGCGCAAGAGUGUACAAAAUGAGUGCGCGGUUUGGCACCUCGAUGUCGGCUUGACUAAUCCUCAUGGAUGCAGAAACUAUGUAGGGUACGACUGUUCGUCGAUUAAAAAGUUACAUGAGCUGGGUUAAAUACGUCGUGAGACAGUAUGGUUUCUAUCUUCUAGAGGGAAUUAGAAUAUAAUAAGGAUUAACCUUUGUACGAAAGGAACAUGGGGUACUAUUGUUAUACCUAGUUGUAUAACAGUUUUAUUAACCUCUGGUUUACCUGUUGUUUAUGUGCCUUAUAUUAAUUUCAUGUGUGAUGCUCCGCAAGGAUAUUACAGGGAUGUUACCGUCACUUGAGUAAAUACAAUAGCAUAAGCAUGGCAGGAAAGCUAAGUUAGUCAAAAAUAAGUGCUGAAAGCAUAUAGGCACGAAAUUUACCUUAAGAUAUUUCUUAAAUAUACGUAAGAAAAUAUUACGUUAAUAGGCUUAGUUUGUAAUAAUCUAGAGAUUUUAAGGAACUAAGUACUAAUUUUAUAAAAAACUGAAUGAUUAAUAU